rnacentral:rRNA from 1 species
UACGUAGGGGGGCUAGCGUUGUCCGGAAUCAUUGGGCGUAAAGCGCGUGUAGGCGGUCCGGUAAGUCCGCUGUGAAAGUCGAGGGCUCAACCCUCGAAUGCCGGUGGAUACUGUCGGGCUUGAGUACGGGAGAGGCGAGUGGAAUUCCUGGUGUAGCGGUGAAAUGCGCAGAUAUCAGGAGGAACACCGAUUGCGAAGGCAGCUCGCUGGAACGUUACUGACGCUGAGACGCGAAAGCGUGGGGGAGCAAACAGG